CACAGAAGAACUUGUAAAGGUCAGAGGACAACUUUGUGGGUUGGUUCUCUCUUUUCACCUUUAUAUGGGUUCUGGUGAUUGAACUCAGGACAUCAGCAAGCACCCUUUACCUGAUGUACCAUCUGGUGAGCCCCUAAACUAUAUAAUUACCGGACAUUUUAACCUUACUUAAGAUUUACAGGCUUCUGUUUUGUCUUUAGGUGGUACGGGACUAUAACCUUCAGCUGUUUCUACAAGAGAAUGCUGUAUUUCACAAGCCUCAGCCCUUCCAGUUCCAGCCUUGUGACAGUGAUACUAGUUUAAAAGCCGCCCAACUGGUGGAUAUUGAGCUCUCCCCUGUCAGUGCCCUGAGAAUGACCAUAGCUGAGGUAUACGGGGGUAUGGGCAAGGGUGGGAGGGUGGAAUGUGUGGGCUUGCAU
rnacentral:lncRNA from 1 species